UGGGAGUUAGCUCAGUGGUAGAGCAUUUGCCCUUCAUGCAUGAGGCCCUAGGUUCAACUCCUACUACUAC
rnacentral:tRNA from 1 species